rnacentral:rRNA from 1 species
CCUACGGGUGGCAGCAGUGGGGAAUAGUGCGCAAUGGGGGCAACCCUGACGCAGCAACGCCGCGUGAUUGAAGAAGGCCUUCGGGUUGUAAAGAUCUUUAAUCGGGGACGAAGGUUGACGGUACCCGAAGAAUAAGCACCGGCUAACUAGGUGCCAGCAGCCGCGGUAAGACGGAGGGAGCAAGCGUUAUCCGGAUUUACUGGGUGGAAAGGGCGGGUAGGGGGGCAGGCAAGCCAGAAGUGAAAUCUGGGGGCUUAACCCCCAAACUGCUUUUGGAACUUCGUGUCUUGAGUGCUGGAGAGUCAGGCGGACUUCCCCGUGUAGCGGUGAACUGCGUAGUUAUUGUGAG